AGAGAUCAUGAUGCAGCCGUCCUUUUGGAUUUCUUUUUAAUAAUGUGUGACCCUUCACCUUUGAUCCCCUGACCUGCAUUACCUUGAUCCUUCUUGAAUAUUAUCAGAUCAGCACUUACAGGCUUGAUUUAACAGAAUCUCACCAUCCUGGGUCUUCAGGGAAAGUCGCGGUCUGUGCCCAGGUGUGCCUGCAGCCUACUUUGAGGCGGUGUCCUGUGUGUGAUCUUUGGGCUGUGUAUUGUGCUGGAGAGAACCUUGGCACUGGAGACACGUAGGACUUUUUAUUUAUUUUUUAUUUUUACGAACCACAGAGAUAUUUGAGUCAGAAAAUGAUGUAGUUUGAAAAAGUGAUAAAUGGACCAGGUUCUUGAAAAGCCAGCAGAACAUCUUAUUUACACAAAAAUCAGAAAACAGAAAUGAGUCUCCUAAGGAAAAAAAAUUUUUUUUUUUUAAAUACGGUGCUUUUAUAUAAAUUUUCUCGUAUCUGUUUUUGUGGUAUAAAAUUUAAUUUUAUCAUCAUUUGUUUGUUUUGUGGUUAGGUCUCCAUUUCUCACAGCAUCUCACUUAACCUGUCUGAAACGGUGAGUUCAGAGGAAGCCCUGUGCUGCUGCCUGUGGCGGCACUCAUGCCCAGACGGUUAAGUCUCACUGCCCACUUGGGUGAGUUUGGUGGGUGAUUGUUCUUUUGUUUUUUUAAUCAGUAACAUAGACUAAGCUACAAAGCCAAGUGGAAGAAUUAAGAUAUGUUUUAAUCUUUUCAAGUUCUAAGAGUCUCAUUAAAGAACCAUCUUUUCUUUUUCUUUUUUUUCUUAAGCUGACAAAAUGUCCACGUGCUUGCCUGGUUCCUGCCUGGCCCCUCAGAAUUCUGGAGCCACAGCCAGGGUGGAUCCCUGGUAGCUUCCCUCAUGGCCUCUAGCGAGGGUGGGUGUGCUGCUCCCUUGCAGCAGCUCCGGAUGUCACCUGGAAGGAAUCUUUGCUGUGGCUUUGAUUAUCCUCUUCAGGUUGUGCCUUUUAGGAAGUUGUAAAACAGAUGGUGCUGUCCAGCCGUCUGAGAUCAGCCCUGCUGAUGUGGGCAGAAUUCAGAAUGAAGUUUUAGCUUCAUGGACAUGUCGUGGGGAAGUUGCGUGUCAUGACAGGCCGUGUCCCAUCAGGGGGAGUACUGUGGGAUGGACCCUGAGGAGGUUAGACUAGGGGCUGCCGGGCUUCCUCUGACUGGCAGACUUGGCUGUGGGUUGCUCAAGAUGGUGACCGGUUCCCUCUCGGAGUGGCGGGUCUGUAACCUGAGUCGUCAGUCUGAGAAGGGGGUGUUUUGUGUUCACUUGGGGUUUUCUGACAUUGACUAGAAAGAAGAGUAACGCUUUAGUUGUGUAAUUUACAAUAAUGACCAAAAGCCUCAAGCCUGCUCCCCACAAAACAUCCAGUUAUCCAAAUAUUCAUUCAAAUUAUAAAUUUCUUUCAGCUAUGGGCACUUUUUUCCUUGUCUUUUUCCUUUCUGUUUUCUUUCCCCACCAGAUAGAUUCACACUGAAAAAUAAGACAGGCUCCAGUAUUUGCAUGUGGAAAAUUAAGAUCCGUGCCCAGAGGCGCCUGGUGGCAAGCACAGUGAAGUAAGCGGAGAACUGGGGCAAUUGUUUAUUUGAAGGUUGGGUGUGACAUAUGAAUGAGCCUAUCUUUUUAAUACCCGCCCAUCUGUCCUGGACUGAAACAGGCAUUUGGAAUAGGUUUUGCAUUCUAAGUUCAGUUUUGAAAACCAACCAUUCACGGUGAAUGCAAAGUUGCUGGAAGUUUGUUUCAGAGAUGAUGCCACCCUCUAUUUCUGUGAACCCAAUAAAAAUAGCAUGGAAUAAAAUUUAAUUAUGCUAUGCUGCAUAUUUCAUGUGGAAUUAAGGGGCAAGAGUUGCCUUUGCAACGCAUUAAGUUUGGAAGGAAUAAAGGCUUUUUGUAGGUUCUUUGGAAGAUACUAUAAUUAAAAGAUUUGCUGAAAUGUAUUUGUCCCCUUUUGAAGAAUUUAAAGGAAUCCAUGCCUCCCUUCCUAAAUUGAUUGCCUCUCAAACAUCAGCCACGCUUGGCAGUAAAUACGGUGAGGCCAUUGCUGCUCUGCUGACGUGACGGCUUCUUUCUGUUAAAUGUAAAAUAGGUUUUUAAUCUCCUGAUUUAGAUGUUUAAUAGAAAGUAAAUGUUUGACUUGCUUUGGUUUCUGCUGAACCUGUAUUUAAAUCCACACAAACAGUUAGAAUAAAGUGAAAACAUCACUGGACUAGCUAUUUUAAACAUUUCAGGACGUGAGAAUGCUAAAUGGGGUUCCCUUUUAAAACUAGAAAUGGCUGCUUGCAUUUACAUAAUUACUGCUAACUAGCACAACAUUUUACAUGGUGACAAACGCAGGGUAGGAAAAGUAUCUGUUUUAAAAAAGCCUGGUAAAAUGAAGCUGAAAAGCUCUGUGAGCAGCUGCUUCCUGCAGAGGGCCUUUGCAAAGCCAGGGGAAGGAGACCUUUCCAGAGGGAGGGUGAUGUGACAUCCUGGGAGCAGGCAGGUAGCUCAGGCAGCUGCUUGGAGAUGCUUGCAAGCUGUCCCUUAGGCUGAGCUCACAAACCUUUCAUCUGGAAGCAGGGUUGUAGGUGCUAGUUCCUAAAUCUGCUUUUCAGUUUUGGAGCGGGUAGGGCAUUCUCUGUCCGUGGUUGAAUGGUGUCUGGUGAGGUUGAAGUUCAGUGUUGGUGCAAACAGCCUGGGAGGGUGUUUGUGAAAAUAAAGACUAGCGUCUCCUCGUCCAGAUUGAGCAGUCAGUACCUCCAGCCGGAAGCUCAGGUAUGUCCUUGAUUCUGCCUUUUGUCCCCUGCCACAAGUGGGACCCAGCUGUAAGUCCCUUUUUCCUUCUCCUAUGUGCCCCGCUGUGUGCAUCUCUGCUGGUGCCUCCAGAGUCUGGUCUGUCCUCAUUUUCUUUGCCUGGACGUCUGACCCCACUUCCUAUCUGGACUCCUGUUGCCAGUCUGGCUCCCUGUACAGGGACCAGGGUGAUUUAUGAAGGAUAUAACCUGGGUGAGGUCACUGGCUUGCUUCAAAACCCUGCAGUGACUUUCUACCCAUUUGGAGUGCACUUGGCCUGUGUGGCCUGGUCCCUGCGACAGCGCUCAGGCCGUACCGUGUGCUCUUCCUCUGGGCGCAUCAACCCUUCCCACAGCUGGAACACACCCGGUCAUGUGCUUCUCCUCUGCAGUUUUCUCCCCAUGGGGUGCUGUCCCCCACACCCCGUGUUUGUGUGCCAGCUUCUUCCUGCCACUCAGGUCUCACCUCAAAUGUCAUCUCAGGGAGGCCCUUCCCAGACAGCCCACGCUAGCAUAGUCCUCCAUCACUCUGUCAUUGGCAUGUUUUGGUAGCAUAUUUAUACUGUCUGAAAUUGUCUCUUGUAUUCCUUUGCCUUUCUCUGCUCUCCUCCCCAGCCCUUUAGAAUGAAUGUGAGCUCUUUUAGGGCAGGGACCUAGUCUGUCUCCUCAGCUGUAUUCUCAGCAGCUACAGGUUCCUGUAAGUGUGCAGGAUGCCACUGAUUAAAUGGAUGCACAAGAGGAGCCCUGGACAGCACUCAUGUCCAAGGAGGGGGCUGACCUGGUGGGACUGGGCACCUAGACGGACGGUCCUAAAGUUCUUGUCGUCUCCAGGUGUUUUCUGGAGCUGUUUGGGAAACACCACUCUAAACCUUGCCUUUUGGCAUUGAAAGUUGACAUUUGGGGUCAAUGAAUGGCUGUGGACAUGGUUCAGCCCAUGUCCCACGAGAGUCGGGGACCUUGCUCUCAUGGCUCCCUGAGUAUUCCCAGUGCUCUUGGUUCAGUGGGAGCUCAGCAGUGGGGGUUCUGCCUCCUUGCUGGGGUGGUGCCUUACCUUGCUGGAGACUGAAUUCGAACUCACCCACACCCAGCUUGAGAGCUAGACCUCCUUUUCUGUGAUUGCCCCUGUGGCAUCUUUCUUAUGACAAUGAUGGCUACACUUUCUAUGUUCCACAUUCUUUCUGGGGCUAGGGGACUAAUCUCCUAAGAUACCAGUAUUUGCAGAAGUCUGAACUUUGGUGAGUAGCUUUGAGCUUCUCUGGUUCUCCUCUUGGCUACAUCCCAAAUUUUUAGGAGAAAAAUGUGGUGAAGCUACAGAUAGCUGGGAGGUUGAUGAGGAUGUUUGGAAGUAGAUUGAACCCUUCGUGUUCAGCUUUCUUAGGAAAGAAGAGAAUCACAUUUCCAACUCAUGCCAUCUCAAAUAUGAUAUGCCACUGCAAGCUGUCCGUCAGAACAUUUACUUUGGUCUCAAAUAUGCUGGUUUAGGGACUGGGUUGUAGAACUCAGGAGACCUGUCUGCUCAGCAGAAGUUCCACUGUACAACUUUCCAUUCUUGCUGCUAUCUUUAUCAGGACAUUGUUACGGUGUUGGCUUGUUUCAGUAAAAACACCAGCUUCUCAGUUAUUUUAUAGUGAAACGGAGCUUCUUAGAACCGAGACCUAGGGACAGAGUCCUUGAGCUGGGGCGUUUGCAUUGCUUUUGAUCGAGCACCAGUUCAUUAGACUGGAUUUAAGAGAACCCCCCUGCCCUUUUCUCGUGUGUGACUGGAGCCUCGUGCCACCCAUGGCAUGGUGUCUUGAUUGCCUGGCCCCCCACUUGCCUGGCUAGAGAACACGCUCAAGCUGGAGGGAACAAGCAAGAUGAAGACAGGCAAGAGUCAAGAAAGGGCCUGGCCUGCCCGAGCCAGACACGUGUGCAGUGGGGGUGGCUAGAUAGGGCUGGAAAAUUGGUUUCAAGCAGCUUAUGGGGGUUCUUGUGUGUAAGAAGUGGGCAACUGUAGGUCAUUUCCCCUGGUAACUGAGCUGGUGAACUGGGGUGUGUGUAGGGCUGGCUGAGGGCAGAGAGAAGAACUUGGAGAACGUAUCAGUCAUUGGUUUCUUAGUUAUUGGAAACUCCGUCUUUCCUGGGAGCCAUUUUCCUCUCUAACAGAUGCUGUGAGAAGCUGUCUAGUGCAUACCCCUGAGUUGUGUACCUUUUCUGAUUUGGUCCUUUUGGUCGGUUGCUUUUGAAGUUAAGGUGCUGGCUUGGUCAACUGAAUAUUCGAAACAGACUCCCAUACACGCCUGGCUGGUAAGUAUUUGAAGAGCAGUGACUUCCUGCGCGAGUGAUUAGCAGGCAUGCUUGAUGUGUGGUUGACACACACAGUGUCUAUGGUAGUUACUGUGUGAUUGCUUAAGCACGAACCAGGGCGCACUGGUCCAGCUUGAAGUGAGGUUGCCCCUCUGAAAGGACAUCCUGGUUGCAUUUUACUGGCACUGUGUGUAAGCAAGGGACAAGCGCCCAUUUACUGUUGUUCUCAUCUCCUUUUCCAGCCUUAAAAAAGCCAAAAUGAUUUCCUGCCCAUAAAUUGCUUGGUUUUCUUUUUCUGGUCUUUCCUUUCGUGGCCAAGAUAUUUGCAGAAAUUUCUGGCUAACCAGCCGUCCGUAACUUUCCUCUUCACUGCGGAUGCUGUGGUUAGUGGUAUCUGAAGAGCUCCCCCAAAUCCAAAGUUGUUGCCUUAGGAAAGCUGAGAUUCCAGCGGUUCAGCCGCUGCAGUGGGGUUUUACAUUCCUUGUCUUGAGACUGUGUUUGACUCAUUAAAUAUUUCAAGUUAGUUGAGAAACUUAAAUAUUUGUUAAAUUUCAGGGUGUCCUGACUUAGAGAAAAUGAAUUACUGGGUAUACUUUAUAAGACCCAUCUUUUGCCCAUUCCUCAGCUUGUAGUGAUGAUGAGGCUUAAAGAUUCUGCCCUUCAGGCAGACAAGUGAAAGCCCUUCGACGGGGAGAAAAUGCGCCAGCAGUGGGGAGCAGUUCUCCCGCAUGGCAUUAGCGUUGGCUUGUGAGUUGGCCCCUCAGGAUGGUACGGACAGUUUCCAGGGAAGAGUUCAGGAAAGACGCUGGAAAGGGAUUUUCCUGACUCUCAUCUCAAGGGGAAUCUCCUUUUUGCUUCAGCUGGCCAAACUUAGCUGGCUCAGCGUGCCUGAUUCCUAGACCAACUUCCCGCCCUCUCAGCGCAUAGCAGACCUCCAGACAGGUGCCUGGUUGACGUGGAUCCCCUGGUUUGCUUUGUUUGAACUGUUAUCUUUUUAAUGGUGAAGCGGAUGAUCUAGACCGAGCACCAAGGUACGCCUUCCUUCCAUCCCCUUCAUGAGCCCGGAUGCCCGCAGCGUGGUCUCGUGUGCACCUGUAGGACAGACCAGGCAGUCCUUCCUGUAGGGUCCGUGAGGUCAUCUGUACCUCGAGUGCUUCUUCAGGGUGGGGGACGGUUUGCUGCCCCCGACAGCGCUGCUGUCUCCGUGGAAAUGUGCGCAGCCUGCUUACCCAUCAGAGAUGCACCACGGAUGAUAAAUAAUAAUCACGCGGCGUGAUUGCUGAGAGGCGGGCUCCAGCCAGUGUGUGCGGGGUUGUAGUGUUUUCCUGAUGGAUGGAGCCUAUUCUGGGAAGCAGCUUAUUGUCUCACGUGAACAGGCAUUCUAAAAUAAAUGACUGCUUUCUUAAUAUUUUGAAUCAUUUUCUUCAGCACAUGUUUUGUAGCCGUGGUUUGAAAGCUUGCCAAAUAUAUGCCUUCACACAACUCCCUGUAGGGCUGGAUAUACAACCAGACCAAACAGUGUGAUUUAAGGUUGAACAUAAUUGGAACUCAGCAAUCACUUGCCUUGCAUUUGAUAGAAUGGCAGCAGAGUGCUCUGGAGUUAUUUCUCCGUUAAAAAAUUAUAUAUAUGUAAUACACACAAACGCAUACUUGUAUAUAGUUUCAGUGCCUCAUAAUAAAGAAGUCGUGUCUGAAACCACUGGCCAGAAACACUAGUGUGAAAAUUAUUACUUGAAUUUUGUGAUGGAGGCAGUAAUGAGCUUCAAACAGAUCCUAGCAGUCGAUACCACCGAUGUGACUGAGGACCUUAGUCAAACUGUAUAAGGUUACAGAAUGGAGAAAAAUCAGAAGGUGGCAGAAAUACAUCUUAAACCCAAGCCCCCAUCAAGACUUUCAUCAGGUGAUGUGUUCCUUGUUUCUGUGCACUUCAGUAAUUGAGCCAUAAACCUGGUGAACUGGGUGCGGCCUCCCUGUUAAACAAGGGGCUUUGGUGUUUACAUUUCAAGCGCUUCUGUGUGUUUGGGAUUGUUGGACUGUCAGUCUCCUGUAAUUGAGACCUUUUCAUGUGCCUCUUGUGCGGUGGGAAAAAUGCUGUUGACAGCCCCACUUCCUGAAGCUCUUUAGAAGAUGGAAUUGAGAGCUCUUUGAGGAGUCACAUGUGGAAUCCAGGUUUGUUUACCAGGCCGAGGGAGAUCAUACUGGCAGACAUUUAUGGUGACUGUCCGGAUCGCAGAGGGUGGAGAUGCACGAGAACGUCUGCUUCACUCCCUGGCACGCUGGCUCCUUCAGGCUCAUCGCCAGCCCCGGCGCCGUGCAGGAGGAGGGGCGUGGGGAGGGAAACCAUGCCCAGCACAGCCGCCACGGUUUCCUGAUGAUGGCAUCCCAUCGCCACACAGUGAUACAGCCUGCCGCCACCCCUUGUAAGAAAAGGAAAUAAAACUCUGAGGUGGAAACG